rnacentral:rRNA from 1 species
UACAGAGGUCUCAAGCGUUGUUCGGAUUCAUUGGGCGUAAAGGGUGUGUAGGUGGCGCGCUAAGUCGGGUGUGAAAUUUCGGAGCUUAACUCCGAAACUGCAUUUGAUACUGGCGUGCUUGAGGACUGGAGAGGAGAGCUGGAAUUCAUGGUGUAGCAGUAGAAAUGCGUAGAGAUCAUGAGGAAGACCAGUGGCGAAGGCGGGUCUCUGGACAGUUCCUGACACUGAGACACGAAGGCCAGGGGAGCAAACGGG